rnacentral:rRNA from 1 species
CCUACGGGAGGCAGCAGUGGGGAAUAUUGGACAAUGGGGGCAACCCUGAUCCAGCCAUGCCGCGUGUGUGAAGAAGGCCCUCGGGUUGUAAAGCACUUUCAGUGAGGAAGAACGCCUGGUGGUUAAUACCCAUCAGGAAAGACAUCACUCACAGAAGAAGCACCGGCUAACUCCGUGCCAGCAGCCGCGGUAAUACUGAGGGUGCGAGCGUUAAUCGGAAUUACUGGGCGUAAAGCGCGCGUAGGUGGCUUGAUAAGCCGGUUGUGAAAGCCCCGGGCUCAACCUGGGAACGGCAUCCGGAACUGUCAAGCUAGAGUGCAGGAGAGGAAGGUAGAAUUCCCGGUGUAGCGGUGAAAUGCGUAGAGAUCGGGAGGAAUACCAGUGGCGAAGGCGGCCUUCUGGACUGACACUGACACUGAGGUGCGAAAGCGUGGGUAGCAAACAGGAUUAGAUACCCCAGUAGUC